CUGGUUAGAAUGCCUGCCUGUCACGCAGGAGGUCGCGGGUUCGAGUCCCGUCCAUUCCG
rnacentral:tRNA from 1 species